rnacentral:rRNA from 1 species
GACGAACGCUGGCGGCGUGCCUAAUACAUGCAAGUAGAACGCUGAAGGAGGAGCUUGCUUCUCCGGAUGAGUUGCGAACGGGUGAGUAACGCGUAGGUAACCUGCCUGGUAGCGGGGGAUAACUAUUGGAAACGAUAGCUAAUACCGCAUAAGAGUAGAUGUUGCAUGACAUUUGCUUAAAAGGUGCAAUUGCAUCACUACCAGAUGGACCUGCGUUGUAUUAGCUAGUUGGUGGGGUAACGGCUCACCAAGGCGACGAUACAUAGCCGACCUGAGAGGGUGAUCGGCCACACUGGGACUGGGACACGGCCCAGACUCCUACGAGAGGCAGCAGUAGGGAAUCUUCGGCAAUGGACGGAAGUCUGACCGAGCAACGCCGCGUGAGUGAAGAAGGUUGUCGGAUCGUAAAGCUCUGUUGUAAGAGAAGAACGAGUGUGAGAGUGGAAAGUUCACACUGUGACGGUAUCUUACCAGAAAGGGACGGCUAACUACGUG